rnacentral:lncRNA from 1 species
CUUGGCCCGUGGAUCACCAGCGUUUGGUCUCUCUUUCUCUACAGUGUCCUGCCAAAGCCCAACCCCAGCAGAUGGUGCCCACGGCUGAUCCCGAUGGUGACCCUACCUUCCCAGCCUUCCCACUUCACCCCAAGCCAUCCUGAAGCAGCCAAAAAGACCUCAUCACCAGACUCCUAAAAACAAAAGGCUGGAGUAAAGGGUCAGCCUGUCCCCUGAACC